UACGUAGGGCGCAAGCGUUGUCCGGAAUUAUUGGGCGUAAAGAGCUCGUAGGUGGCUUGUCGCGUCUGCCGUGAAAGCCCAUGGCUUAACUGUGGGUCUGCGGUGGAUACGGGCAGGCUGGAGGCUGGUAGGGGCAAGCGGAAUUCCUGGUGUAGCGGUGAAAUGCGCAGAUAUCAGGAGGAACACCGGUGGCGAAGGCGGCUUGCUGGGCCAGUUCUGACGCUGAGGUGCGAAAGCGUGGGGAGCAAACAGG
rnacentral:rRNA from 1 species